rnacentral:lncRNA from 1 species
UUAAUGUUGGGACUAGACAAUAGAUAUUACAUUCUGAUUGGUUAAUGUUGGGACUAGACAAUAGAUAUUACAUUCUGAUUGGUUAAUGUUGGGACUAGACAAUAGAUAUUACAUUCUGACUGGUUAAUGUUGGGACUCCCCCAGUAUUGCCCCUCCAGGUAUACCCUCCAGUAUUACCCUCCAGGUUAUAUCCCUCCAGGUAUUACCCCCAGGUAUUGUCCCUCCGGUAUUGUCCCUCCAGGUAUUGUCCCUCCAGGUAUUGUCCCUCCAGGUAUUAACCCUCCAGGUAUAUCCUCGGGAUAUCCCCAGGUAUUCCCUCCAGGUAUUUACCUCCAGGUAAUAUCCCUCCAGGUAUUUCCUCCAGUAUUUCCCCUCCAGGUAUUGAAUGGUUCUCCUAUCGAUCAGGUUCUUGCCUAUAAAUAUCUGGGCAUUUGGAUGACACGGAUUUAACAUUUAACCCAUGAGGCGGCGCACAAUUGGCCCCAGCGUCUUCUGGUUAGGGGAGGUUUGGCCCGCGUCGUCCGGGUUAGGGGAGGGGU